rnacentral:tRNA from 1 species
AGUAGAUUGUCUGAGCGGCUUAAAGAGCGCCCCUGCUAAGGGCGUAGGUGUCACAGCCUCGAGAGUUCGAAUCUCUCAUCUACUGCCA